UACGAAUCGUCCAAACGUUGUUCGGAUUUACUGGGUUUAAAGGGCGCGUAGGCGGUGCGCUAAGUCGGUGGUGAAAUACUUCGGCUCAACCGGAGAAUUGCCGCUGAAACUGGCGUGCUCGAGGGAGGUAGAGGUGCGUGGAACUUCCGGUGGAGCGGUGAAAUGCGUUGAUAUCGGAAGGAACACCUGUGGCGAAAGCGAUGCACUGGACCUCUUCUGACGCUGAGGCGCGAAAGCCAGGGGAGCGAACGGG
rnacentral:rRNA from 3 species